rnacentral:rRNA from 1 species
CUGGUUGAUCCUGCCAGACCUGACUGCUAUCGGAUUGGUACUAAGCCAUGCGAGUCAUUGUAGCAAUACAAGGCGGACGGCUCAGUAACACGUAGUCAACCUAACUCGUGGACGUGGAUAACCUCGGGAAACUGAGAAUAAACCACGAUAGACCAUGGUGCCUGGAAUGGCUUAUGGUCCAAACAGUUUACUGCCAUGGGAUGGGACUGCGGCCUAUCAGCUUGUUGGUGAGGUAAUGGCCCACCAAGGCGAUUACAGGUACGGGCUCUGAGAGGAGAAGCCCGGAGAUGGGUACUGAGACACGGACCCAGGCCCUAUGGGGCGCAGCAGGCGAGAAACCUUAGCAAUGUGCGAAAGCACGACUGGGUCAGUCCGAGUGAUUCCUGAUAAAGGAGUCUUUUGCUUGUCCUAAAAGCACUGGUGAAUAAGGGGUGGGCAAGUCUGGUGUCAGCCGCCGCGGUAAUACCAGCACCUCGGGUGGUCAGGACGAUUAUUGGGCCUAAAGCAUCCGUAGCUUGUUCUGCAAGUCCUCCGUUAAAUCCACCUGCUCAACAGAUGGGCUGCGGGGGAUACUACAGGGCUAGGAGGCGGGAGAGGCAAACGGUACUCAGUGGGUAGGGGUAAAAUCCUCUGAUCCACUGAAGACCACCAGUGGCGAAGGCGGUUUGCCAGAACGCGCUCGACGGUGAGGGAUGAAAGCUGGGGGAGCAAACCGGAUUAGAUACCCGGGUAGUCCCAGCUGUAUACGAU